UACGUAGGGCGCGAGCGUUGUCCGGAUUUAUUGGGCGUAAAGAGCUCGUAGGCGGCUUGUCGCGUCGACUGUGAAAUCCCGCGGCUCAACUGCGGGUCUGCAGUCGAUACGGGCAGGCUAGAGUUCGGUAGGGGAGACUGGAAUUCCUGGUGUAGCGGUGAAAUGCGCAGAUAUCAGGAGGAACACCGGUGGCGAAGGCGGUUCUCUGGGCAUUACCUGACGCUGAGGAGCGAAAGUGUGGGGAGCGAACAGG
rnacentral:rRNA from 1 species